UUCGUAGGCAGCAAGCGUUGUUCGGAUUUAUUGGGCGUAAAGGGUGCGUAGGCGGUUUGGCAAGUCUUGUGUGAAAUCUUCGGGCUCAACCCGAAGUCUGCAUAAGAAACUGCCGGGCUUGAGUAUGGGAGAGGUGAGUGGAAUUUCCGGUGUAGCGGUGAAAUGCGUAGAUAUCGGAAGGAACACCUGUGGCGAAAGCGGCUCACUGGACCAUAACUGACGCUGAGGCACGAAAGCUAGGGGAGCAAACAGG
rnacentral:rRNA from 1 species